CCUACGGGGGGCAGCAGUGGGGAAUAUUGGGCAAUGGAGGCAACUCUUACCCAGCAAUGCCGCGUGAAUGAAGAAGGUCUUCGGAUUGUAAAGUUCUUUAAUUGGGGACGAAAAAAAUGACGGUACCCAAGGAAUAAGCCCCGGCUAACUACGUGCCAGCAGCCGCGGGAAUACGUAGGGGGCAAGCGUUGUUCGGAAUGACUGGGCGUAAAGGGUGGGUAGGCGGGGUAGCAAGGUAGCAGGGAAAUACCUUGAGCUUACCUCAGGUGCUGCUUCUAAAACUGCUAUACUUGAGUGCAGUAGAGGACAGUGGACUUCCUAGUGUAGCGGUGUAAUGCGUAGAUAUUAGGCGGAACAUCAGUGGCGAAGGCGACUUUCUGGACUGUACCUGACGCUGAGGCACGACAGUGUGGGGAGCAAACAGGAUUAGAUACCCUUGUAGUC
rnacentral:rRNA from 1 species